ACACUGGUCACUACAUUCUUCACUUCCAGUUAAUACAUGUACAGCUGCUGUUAUUGUGUAUAUAUUUAUUUAUAUUUCUUCAUACAUUCUUAUAUAGUUCUAUAUUGUGUAUUUUGUUGUACAGUUAUUUUAUUUUCAACUUUAACUUAUAUAUUUUAUCUUAUUCUUUCCCAGUUAAAUUUACCCUUCAUUCUAAUUUGUGUUGUACAGUUAUUUCAUUUUUAACCUUAAUAUAUAUUUUAUUCCUUCCUAGUUAAAUUUACCCUUUUUAAUUUUUCAUAUUUAUUUCCUAUCUUAUUCAUAGCCUUUUCCUUUUUUGUUUUCUUUAGGUCACGAGCAGUUGUCCAAGCAUUUCACUACAUAUCGUACUGUGUAUGACUGUAUUAGUGGCGUGAGUUUUCGAGUUUAUUCAGUAAGCUGUAAAGUGCAGACGGGGCUCACGGUCAACCCGAAGAAGUGUGCAAUUUGGACGGAGAGAGGUACAGUAUGUCAUGAAUUUAAUAUAUAUUCUUAAUGCUUAUUUGCUGAUUAUAUCGUUUUAUGUACUCUAAUAAUGAAGGUUUGUAAAGCAAGGCCGGUGUCAUGGU
ensembl:lncRNA